rnacentral:rRNA from 1 species
AGAAAUCGGGGACAAUCACCGAUAGUCCCGCAAGGGUAAAGAUUUAUCGCUUGGAGAUGGGCCCGCGUCCCAUCAGCUAGUUGGUAGGGUAACGGCCUACCAAGGCUACGACGGGUAGGGGGUGUGAGAGCAUGGCCCCCCACAAUGGCACUGAGACAAGGGCCAUACGCCUACGGGUGGCAGCAAUCGGGAAUCUUGCACAAUGGACGCAAGUCUGAUGCAGCGACGCCGCGUGAAGGAUGAAGGUCGAAAGAUUGUAAACUUCUUAAUUUGCCGAAAGGCAGAGGAUGAAGCCCCGGCUAACUACGUGCCAGCAGCAGCGGUAAAACGUAGGGGGCGAGCGUUGUCCGGAUUUACUGGGCUUAAAGAGUACGUAGGUGUUUCGGGAAGUCUUGGCUUAAAGCCCGCGGCUCAACCGCGGAACGUGUCGAGAUACUUCCGAAAUUGAGGAAGGUAGGGGGUGGCGGAACAUUGCAAGGAGGGGUGAAAUCCGAUGAUCUGCGAUGGAACACCGAAAGCGAAGGCAGCCACCUGGGCCUUUCCUGACACUGAGGUACGAAAGCUAGGGGAGCGAAACGGAUUAGAUACCCGUGUAGUCCUAGCCGUAAACGAUGGACACUAGCUAUCCAGUUUUGGGUGGCGUAAAAGCUAACGCGUUAAGUGUCCCGCCUGGGGAGUACGGCCGCAAGGCUAAAACUCAAAGGAAUUGACGGGGACCCGCACAAGCGGUGGAGCAUGUGGUUUAAUUCGAUGAUAACCGAAGAAUCUCACCAGGGUUUGACAUGCAAGUGGUAGGAAUCCGAAAGGUGACCGACCCGCAAGGGAGCUUGCACAGGUGUUGCAUGGCUGUCGUCAGUUCGUGGCGUGAGCUGUAUGGUUAAGUCCCAU